rnacentral:rRNA from 1 species
GACGAACGCUGGCGGCGUGCUUAACACAUGCAAGUCGAACGGAAAGGCCCUGCUUUUGUGGGGUGCUCGAGUGGCGAACGGGUGAGUAACACGUGAGUAACCUGCCCUUGACUUUGGGAUAACUUCAGGAAACUGGGGCUAAUACCGGAUAGGAGCUCCUGCUGCAUGGUGGGGGUUGGAAAGUUUCGGCGGUUGGGGAUGGACUCGCGGCUUAUCAGCUUGUUGGUGGGGUAGUGGCUUACCAAGGCUUUGACGGGUAGCCGGCCUGAGAGGGUGCCCGGCCACAUGGGACAGAGGAUACGGCCCGGAUCCCAAGGGGGGGAAUGGGGGGGAAAAUUUCCAACAGGGGGGGAGCCCUAGAGGAGCAACGCCGGGUGGGGAAAGACGGCCUUUGGGGUGAAACCCGUUUCCCCUUUGAAGGAGGGGGGGGGGGGGGAAAUGGUAAAAGAACCACGGCUAACCAAGUG